GGGUUUUUUAUUUUAUACUUCAAAUCUUGAAUUUAUUUUUUAUGUUUUUUAAAUGUUCAUUUUUUUGAAUGUUUGAUUUAAAAAAAUAUAAAAAAUAAAAUAGAUAUUGACAUGGAUUAAACAAAGAUAUAUAUUAUUCUAUGUUGCAUAAACAAAUUGGCAAAGUAG
rnacentral:misc_RNA from 1 species